GGAUGUAAGGGUGACCUGGCCAUGACAUCUGCCACUCUACUGAUUGUCAGGGUUAACUAGCUGACCUGGCGGGCUUUAUGAUGUCCUCCUCUGUGUCACUGCUCAACAACUGUCCUUCCCAAAUCUGUGUGCUCAGGUGUACCCUCACCAGCUGAGGGCCCUUCUUUAAUUGAGCGCAUGCAGAUACUGCUCCCUGAGGAAGCCUCCUCACAAGCUCUUAAGAACCAUGCAGCNGGUGGGGGAUGGGGGGUGGGGGACUUUUGGGAUAGCAUUUGAAAUGUAAAUGAAGAAAAUAUCUAAUAAAAAAUGU
ensembl:misc_RNA Gm25925 predicted gene, 25925